rnacentral:piRNA from 1 species
AGUCUGUAGUGAGAAUUCGUUUUC